UACAGAGGUCUCAAGCGUUGUUCGGAUUCAUUGGGCGUAAAGGGUGCGUAGGCGGCGCGGUAAGUCGGGUGUGAAAUCUCGGAGCUUAACUCCGAAACUGCAUUCGAUACUGCCGUGCUUGAGGACUGGAGAGGAGACUGGAAUUUCCUGUGUAGCGGUGAAAUGCGUAGAUAUAGGAAGGAAUACCAGUGGCGAAGGCGGCCUCCUGGAUCGAUACUGACGCUGAGGCGCGAAAGCGUGGGGAGCAAACAGG
rnacentral:rRNA from 1 species